rnacentral:lncRNA from 1 species
AAAAGAUAAAGUCAACGGUUGAGAAAAGUGUAUACCUGAGGUGCCCAUUAUUGCUCCACCACUUGACCAACAAAGGGUACUGCUCAUGGAACCAAGGAAGAUUAGCCUCCAGGACCCUUCCUCACCCACCUGCCCACCGCAGUUCUACAAUCCCAUUUCAAAGACCUCAAGAGAAGAUGUUGGAAUCAGCAUCUCAGAUUCCAAAAGCCAAUACUUAAACUGGG